rnacentral:rRNA from 1 species
UCCGUAGGUGAACCUGCGGAAGGAUCAUUACCGAGUUGAUUCGGGCUCCGGCCCGAUCCUCCCACCCUUUGUGUACCUACCUCUGUUGCUUUGGCGGGCCGCGGUUCUCCGCGGCCGCCCCCCUCCCCGGGGGGUGGCUAGCGCCCGCCAGAGGACCAUCAAACUCCAGUCAGUAAACGAUGCAGUCUGAAAAACAUUUAAUAAACUAAAACUUUCAACAACGGAUCUCUUGGUUCUGGCAUCGAUGAAGAACGCAGCGAAAUGCGAUAAGUAAUGUGAAUUGCAGAAUUCAGUGAAUCAUCGAAUCUUUGAACGCACAUUGCGCCCUUUGGUAUUCCGAAGGGCAUGCCUGUUCGAGCGUCAUUACAACCCUCAAGCUCUGCUUGGUAUUGGGCACCGUCCUUUGCGGGCGCGCCUCAAAGACCUCGGCGGAGGCGUCUUGCCUCAAGCGUAGUAGAACAUACAUCUCGCUUCGGAGCGCAGGGCGUCGCCCGCCGGACGAACCUUCUGAACUUUUCUCAAGGUUGACCUCGGAUCAGGUAGGGAUACCCGCUGAACUUAAGCAUAUCAAUAAGCGGAGGA